AAAAAAAAUUAAAAUUUUAGAUUUUAUUGUACGACUUUGUCGGCUUUAUUGAUUUAUAUAUCCAUGCCAAAUUUCAGCUUUCUAACACUAACGACCACGGAGCAAAGCCUCGGACAGACAGACAGACAGACAGACAGACGGACAUGGCGAAACUAUAAGGGUUCCGUUUUAUGCCAUUUGGCUACGGAACCCUAAAAAGGCAUAAGCAAGGGGGAAGUUUCGUUAGUUGUUCAGAUGAUUAAGUAUUAUGUAACCAAAAAAUAAUAAUUUCAGGUGACUCGGGGUAUGCUCUUGAGCCAUGGCUCAUGACGCCAGUGCUGAAUCCUGCCCCGGGAAGCCCAGAAGCAAGAAAUGUUCCCGAGGAAAUCGUAGGAGAUAUUGAUGAAGACGCUCCUCAAGAACUUCCUCAUCGUCAUGCGCAAAACGGACUACUAUUAAGAGUGGCGCAGGAAAAGCGUGCGCGUCUAAUAAAUACAUAUUUUGCUUA